GCCUAGUUAGCGCAGUAGGUAGCACAUCAGUCUCAUAAUCUGAAGGCCAUGAGUUCAACCCUCACACAGGGCA
rnacentral:tRNA from 1 species